UAUUUUUCUAACACAUUUGAGGUAAACAUCAUAGGGUAGAGACUAGAGAUUAGACUGUCAUCGGCUCUUUGGUUAGUAGGUAUUUUGUUUUUGGUAUAAAAUCAUCCACACCAACUCAACUCAACACACAUAAUAACAUUAUUUUGUCACUCUAUACUGACUCCUCUUCAGUCAUCCCCCGAAUUGAGGUCUUUUGUCUCGUUUUCAAUUGUUUAGAACUCCUCAUCGAUCUUUAUCUCUUUGCUUGGUUCGGAUCAGAACAAAUCAUCAUGAGCGAUCCAAAAUAUGCUUAUCCCUACCCUGCUCAAGGUUACUAUCAAGGUCCUCCUGUGAUGGCCCCUCCACAGUAUCAGUAUGCUGCUCCACCACCAAGAAGAGAACCAGGGUUCCUUGAAGGAUGUCUUGCCGCUUUGUGUUGCUGCUGCCUUAUUGACGAGUGCUGCUGUGACCCCUCCAUCAUCUUCAUAAGUUAAAUAUUACAAUUAUAUUAGUAUAUAUGGUUUAGAGGAUCAUAUUUAUAUAUAAUUUUAAUUGUGGUGUGAUGAUGUUAUGUUAUUAUGCUUGUGAAGGAGUGUUUCUUUAUGUAGCUAGAUCAUUCUUCGUCUUCGUCUGUAAUGGUUAUGAUUUUUACAUACCUACAAAGACCUUAGUUUGUUUGUGUUCUUCUUAUAUAUUGUUUUUGGUUUACAUUU